UGGGGAAUAUUGGGCAAUGGGCGAAAGCCUGACCCAGCAACGCCGCGUGAGGGAAGAAGGUUUUCGGAUUGUAAACCUCUGUCCUAUGGGACGAAGGACGUGACGGUACCAUAGGAGGAAGCCCCGGCUAACUACGUGCCAGCAGCCGCGGUAAUACGUAGGGGGCGAGCGUUGUCCGGAAUGACUGGGCGUAAAGGGCGUGUAGGCGGCUUUUUAAGUCUGGAGUGAAAGCCCCGCUUUUAAGGUGGGGAGUGCUUUGGAGACUGGAGAGCUUGAGUGCGGAAGAGGUAAGUGGAAUUCCCAGUGUAGCGGUGAAAUGCGUAGAGAUUGGGAGGAACACCAGUGGCGAAGGCGACUUACUGGGCCGUAACUGACGCUGAGGCGCGAAAGCGUGGGGAGCGAACA
rnacentral:rRNA from 1 species